CUACGGGUGGCAGCAGUAGGGAAUAUUGGACAAUGGGCGCAAGCCUGAUCCAGCAAUGCCGCGUGAGUGAUGAAGGCCUUAGGGUUGUAAAGCUCUUUUACCAGAGAUGAUAAUGACAGUAUCUGGGGAAUAAGCCCCGGCUAACUCCGUGCCAGCAGCCGCGGUAAUACGGAGGGGGCUAGCGUUGUUCGGAAUUACUGGGCGUAAAGCGCACGUAGGCGGCGAUUUAAGUCAGAGGUGAAAGCCCGGGGCUCAACCCCGGAACUGCCUUUGAGACUGGAUUGCUUGAAUCCGGGAGAGGUGAGUGGAAUUCCGAGUGUAGAGGUGAAAUUCGUAGAUAUUCGGAAGAACACCAGUGGCGAAGGCGGCUCACUGGACCGGCAUUGACGCUGAGGUGCGAAAGCGUGGGGAGCAAACAGGAUUAGAUACCCUCGUAGUC
rnacentral:rRNA from 1 species